rnacentral:rRNA from 1 species
CAGCCGCCGCGGUAAAACGAAGGGGGCUAGCGUUGUUCGGAUUUACUGGGCGUAAAGCGCACGUAGGCGGAUCGAUCAGUCAGGGGUGAAAUCCUGGAGCUCAACUCCAGAACUGCCUUUGAUACUGUCGAUCUCGGGUCCGGAAGAGGUGAGUGGAACUCCUAGUGCAGAGGUGGAAUUCGUAGAUAUUAGGAAGAACACCAGUGGCGAAGACGGCUCACUGGUCCGGUACUGACGCUGAGGUGCGAAAGCGUGGGGAGCAAACAGGAUUAGAGACCCCGUAGUCCCUGUCUCUUAUACA